rnacentral:rRNA from 1 species
AGAGUUUGAUCCUGGCUCAGAGUGAACGCUGGCGGCGUGCCUAAUACAUGCAAGUCGAACGAUGAAAUUUCUAGCUUGCUAGAAGUGGAUUAGUGGCGCACGGGUGAGUAACGCAUAGGUUAUGUGCCUCUUAGUUUGGGAUAGCCAUUGGAAACGAUGAUUAAUACCAGAUACUCCCUACGGGGGAAAGAUUUAUCGCUAAGAGAUCAGCCUAUGUCCUAUCAGCUUGUUGGUAAGGUAAUGGCUUACCAAGGCUAUGACGGGUAUCCGGCCUGAGAGGGUGAACGGACACACUGGAACUGAGACACGGUCCAGACUCCUACGGGAGGCAGCAGUAGGGAAUAUUGCUCAAUGGGGGAAACCCUGAAGCAGCAACGCCGCGUGGAGGAUGAAGGUUUUAGGAUUGUAAACUCCUUUUGUUAGAGAAGAUAAUGACGGUAUCUAACGAAUAAGCACCGGCUAACUCCGUGCCAGCAGCCGCGGUAAUACGGAGGGUGCAAGCGUUACUCGGAAUCACUGGGCGUAAAGAGCGCGUAGGCGGGAUAGUCAGUCAGGUGUGAAAUCCUAUGGCUUAACCAUAGAACUGCAUUUGAAACUACUAUUCUAGAGUGUGGGAGAGGUAGGUGGAAUUCUUGGUGUAGGGGUAAAAUCCGUAGAGAUCAAGAGGAAUACUCAUUGCGAAGGCGACCUGCUGGAACAUUACUGACGCUGAUUGCGCGAAAGCGUGGGGAGCAAACAGGAUUAGAUACCCUGGUAGUCCACGCCCUAAACGAUGGAUGCUAGUUGUUGGAGGGCUUAGUCUCUCCAGUAAUGCAGCUAACGCAUUAAGCAUCCCGCCUGGGGAGUACGGUCGCAAGAUUAAAACUCAAAGGAAUAGACGGGGACCCGCACAAGCGGUGGAGCAUGUGGUUUAAUUCGAAGAUACACGAAGAACCUUACCUAGGCUUGACAUUGAGAGAAUCCGCUAGAAAUAGUGGAGUGUCUAGCUUGCUAGACCUUGAAAACAGGUGCUGCACGGCUGUCGUCAGCUCGUGUCGUGAGAUGUUGGGUUAAGUCCCGCAACGAGCGCAACCCCCUUUCUUAGUUGCUAACAGGUCAUGCUGAGAACUCUAAGGAUACUGCCUCCGUAAGGAGGAGGAAGGUGGGGACGACGUCAAGUCAUCAUGGCCCUUACGCCUAGGGCUACACACGUGCUACAAUGGGGUGCACAAAGAGAAGCAAUACUGCGAAGUGGAGCCAAUCUUCAAAACACCUCUCAGUUCGGAUUGUAGGCUGCAACUCGCCUGCAUGAAGCUGGAAUCGCUAGUAAUCGCAAAUCAGCCAUGUUGCGGUGAAUACGUUCCCGGGUCUUGUACUCACCGCCCGUCACACCAUGGGAGUUGUGUUUGCCUUAAGUCAGGAUGCUAAAUUAGCUACUGCCCACGGCACACACAGCGACUGGGGUGAAGUCGUAACAAGGUAACCGUAGGUGAACCUGCGGUUG